GGUGUGUGUGAAGAGAUGACCUAUGCAGAGAUUGAGAAACGGUACCCAGAAGAGUUUGCACUUCGAGAUCAAGAGAAGUAUCUGUAUCGAUAUCCUGGUGGGGAGGGUGCAAAGUGGAAACAAUUAAACUUAACGUGGAGGCUGUGAACACGCACCGUGACAAGCCAACUGCAGCAGAGACCACACUGGCUGUGCGCAGACACCCCUCCGCAGCGUCCCUCAUGUUGCCUUGCUAAUGAUGUGGAUGUUCAGGCCUCACCUCUCCAAACGACUGGGAUCUACUGAAAAGUUUGGGAUGUCAGCUCCACAGAGGCUAGAACAGGAAGUUAAGUGGGAACUGGACUUUGGGGGCCACCAAAAUGAGGCCUGGAGAAACGUCACCAUAUUUCCUCCCCUCCUGCCUAAUGGGAAUAUCAGUUACACUGAAAAAUUUAACUUCCCUGUGCCUCAAAACAUUUAGCAACCUGAACCAGUGACUUUUUGUCAUCUCUGUGCUGGGUUUGGUCCAAGUUGGUCAAUCUCAUUCUGUAUAGGCAUUUAACAUCCUACCUGUGACUGUCUGCAUCCUUUGCUGGCUCUUUUUUGCCCAAAGUGCAAAUGCACUUCUUCAGAUUUGCUUUUCAAGUGAGAAGGUAAGAGCUGGUCUCUGCCACUGUUCCAGGAGAGCAGGCUAGAGUCUAAUAUACAUAUGCUAGCAGUUACCAUUUGCCACAUUGGAAGCAAGAGACAAAUCACCAGGUGAAUGGAGGGUCUUCUGAGAAAUUCAGUCCCUAAAACAUCUCUUCUGCCUUGAUAGAAGAACAGUGUCAGUGGCAACCUUUUCAUUUAGAGAAGAUUUUCUUGUUCCAGGCCCUUCAGGACAGGAUCUGACUGCAAGACUCCCCAAAAUGGG
rnacentral:sRNA from 1 species